CAGUAGCCACGGUAAUACAGAGGGUGCAAGCGUUAAUCGGAAUUACUGGGCGUAAAGCGCGCGUAGGUGGUUUGUUAAGUUGGAUGUGAAAUCCCCGGGCUCAACCUGGGAACUGCAUCCAAAACUGGCAAGCUAGAGUAUGGUAGAGGGUGGUGGAAUUUCCUGUGUAGCGGUGAAAUGCGUAGAUAUAGGAAGGAACACCAGUGGCGAAGGCGACCACCUGGACUGAUACUGACACUGAGGUGCGAAAGCGUGGGGAGCAAACAGGAUUAGAUACCCGUGUAGUCCCUGUCUCUUAUAC
rnacentral:rRNA from 1 species